rnacentral:rRNA from 1 species
AUGAUGAUCCACGCCACCGCCGCCAACACCAGGGAUCUCGAUGAAUGGCACGACGCGCUGAGGGUGGUUAGUGAGGAGGGGGUGGUCGUCGAAGCUGUAGCGAGAGCGGUUGACGAUGGUGAAGGCAAGGGCCUUGAGCCAAGUCGUGCCGCACUUGGGCUGCGUGGCGAGGAUGAUGUCGUCGGCACAGGAUUCGAAGGCGUCCUGGGCCAGCAGGAUCUGCUCCAGCGGCAGGCCUCUGAACCAGAAAUUCUUGUACUAGAUGAGUGGUUGCGACCACCCUUUUCUCUGGGGGAGUGUGGAUAUGAACUCAUCGAUGCUUACUUUUGGAUGGCACAUCUUCUUGAUGAGGUGAACUCCUGGUGGCGCUACUCUCUCGGUCGCGCUCUCAUGGAUGUGGAACCCAUGCCAUGGUUGAUGGGAGGAGGAGAUGCAAAGCUUUGA